GGUAAGAUGGCCGAGAAAUAGGCAGUGGGUUGUAGCCCCAUUUACAGAGGUUUAAGUCCUCUUCUUUCCA
rnacentral:tRNA from 1 species